rnacentral:rRNA from 1 species
AAGGAACCUGCCUCAAGGAUUGGGAUAACUCCGAGAAAUCGGAGCUAAUACCGGAUAGUUCAUCGGACCGCAUGGUCCGUUGAUGAAAGGCGCUCCGGCGUCACCUUGAGAUGGCCUUGCGGUGCAUUAGCUAGUUGGUGGGGUAACGGCCCACCAAGGCGACGAUGCAUAGCCGACCUGAGAGGGUGAUCGGCCACACUGGGACUGAGACACGGCCCAGACUCCUACGGGAGGCAGCAGUAGGGAAUCUUCCACAAUGGACGAAAGUCUGAUGGAGCAACGCCGCGUGAGUGAUGAAGGUUUUCGGAUCGUAAAACUCUGUUGUAAGGGAAGAACACGUACGAGAGGAAAUGCUCGUACCUUGACGGUACCUUACGAGAAAGCCACGGCUAACUACGUGCCAGCAGCCGCGGUAAUACGUAGGUGGCAAGCGUUGUCCGGAAUUAUUGGGCGUAAAGCGCGCGC